GGGGUCAUGGUGCAACCAGGUAACACGGCGGGCUCCAGACCCGCAUAUUAGGGUUCAAAUCCCUAUGACCCCA
rnacentral:tRNA from 1 species